rnacentral:rRNA from 1 species
GACAGAGGGUGCAAACGUUGUUCGGAAUUACUGGGCGUAAAGCGUACGCAGGCGGCUUUGCAAGACAGGUGUGAAAUCCCCGGGCCUAACCUGGGAACUGCAUUUGUGACUGCAUAGCUAGAGUUUGUCAGAGGGGGGUGGAAUUCCACGUGUAGCAGUGAAAUGCGUAGAUAUGUGGAGGAACACCGAUGGCGAAGGCAGCCCCCUGGGAUGUGACUGACGCUCAUGUACGAAAGCGUGGGGAGCAAACAGG